AUGAAGCUCAAUGGCCUCUUCAUCUACAACCGCCUCCAGCGUCUGGUUUUCCUUCAGCAGGAAUUCUUUGGGUAUCAUCAGCAUGAAUCAUCCAUCGAUGAAAAUUGCAUGCACCUGAAGAAGAACUCCGAUAACCUACAUGACAUCGGCCAGAUGAUCUCCGAUGAGCUCCUUCUCAGCACCCUCGCCGCUGGCCUCAACGAGGAUUUUGGGAAUGCCGCCUCCAACCUCGCCUUGCUGCCCUCGCCGACCUUCCAAAAGGUUGUGCCAUACCUGCGUUUGGAGGAGCGCCGGAUGAAUUAG
rnacentral:rRNA from 1 species